rnacentral:rRNA from 1 species
UGACAGUCGAACGAACCACCCGGUGCUUGCACCGGAUUGGUUAGUGGCGAACGGGUGAGUAAUACAUGAGAAACCUGCCCUGGAGACAGGGAUAACCCCGGGAAACCGGAGCUAAAACCUGAUAUCCCUGUGGGAUCGCAUGAUCCUGCAAGAAAACACCCCGGUGCUCCAGGAGGGUCUCAUGGCCUAUCAGCUUGUUGGUAAGGUAACGGCUUACCAAGGCUAAGACGGGUAGCUGGUCUGAGAGGAUGAUCAGCCACACUGGGACUGACACUCGGCCCACACUCCUACGGGAGGCAGCAGUAGGGAAUCUUGCGCAGUGGGCGAAAGCCUGACGCACCCACGCCACGUGUGGGACGACGGCCUUCGGGUUGUAAACCACUUUCAGCAGGGACGAAAUUGACGGUACCUGCAAAAGAAGCCCCGGCCAACUACGUGCCAGCAGCCGCGGUAACACGUAGGGGGCGAGCGUUGUCCGGAAUUACUGGGCGUAAAGGGCUCGUAGGCGGUUUGGUAAGUCAGAUGUGAAAACUCCAGGCUCAACUUGGAGACGCCAUCUGAAACUACUAUGACUAGAGGUUGGUAGAGGAGUGCAGAAUUCUCGGUGUAGCGGUGAAAUGCGCAUAUAUCGGGAGGAAUACCAGUCAGCGUAGGCGGCACUCUGGGCCACAACUGACGCUGAGGAGCGAAAGCGUGGGUAGCGAACAGGAUUAGAUACCCUGGUAGUCCACGCCGUAAACGGUGGGCAUUAGGUGUGGGGCCCUGUCAACGGGCUCCGUACACGUAGCUAACGCGUUAAAUGCCCCGCCUGGGGAGUACGGCCGCAAGGCUAAAACUCAAAGGAAUUGACGGGGGCCCGCACAAGCGGCGGAG